rnacentral:rRNA from 1 species
AUUGAACGCUGGCGGCAGGCUUAACACAUGCAAGUCGAACGAGUGGCGGACGGGUGAGUAAUGCUUGGGAAACUCGCUCAUGGAGGGGGAUAACUACGGGACACUGUAUCUAAUACCGCGUACCAUAGGAUGAGCCCAAGUGGGAUGAGGUAGUUGGUGAGGUAAAGGCUCACCAAGCCGACGAUCUCUAGCUGGUCUGAGAGGAUGACCAGCCACACUGGGACUGAGACACGUCCCAGACUCCGACGGGAGGCAGCAGUGGGGAAUAUUGCGCAAUGGGGGCAACCUGACGCAGCCAUGCCGCGUGAAUGAAGAAGGCCUUCGGGUUGUAAAGUUCUUUCGGUAGCGAGGCGUUAACUACAGAAGAAGCACCGGCUAACUCCGUGCCAGCAGCCGCGGUAAUUC